UACGUAGGGUGCAAGCGUUAAUCGGAAUUACUGGGCGUAAAGCGUGCGCAGGCGGUUUUGUAAGUCUGUCGUGAAAGCCCCGGGCUCAACCUGGGAAUUGCGAUGGAGACUGCAAGGCUUGAAUCUGGCAGAGGGGGGUAGAAUUCCACGUGUAGCAGUGAAAUGCGUAGAGAUGUGGAGGAACACCGAUGGCGAAGGCAGUCACCUAUCUCAUAAUUGACGCUAAAGCACGAAAGUGUGGGUAGCAAACAGG
rnacentral:rRNA from 1 species